rnacentral:rRNA from 1 species
UACGAAGGGGGCUAGCGUUGUUCGGAAUUACUGGGCGCAAAGCGCGCGUAGGCGGCCCUGUAAGUCCGUUGUGAAAGUCAAAGGCUCAACCUUUGAAAGCCGAUGGAUACUGCAGGGCUAGAGUCCGGAAGAGGAGAGUGGAAUUCCUGGUGUAGCGGUGAAAUGCGCAGAUAUCAGGAAGAACACCCGUGGCUAAGGCGGCUCUCUAGUACGGUACUGACGCUGAGACGCGAAAGCGUGGGGAGCGAACAGG